rnacentral:rRNA from 1 species
UACGUAGGUGGCAAGCGUUGUCCGGAAUUAUUGGGCGUAAAGAGCGCGCAGGCGGUCGUUCAAGUCGCGUGUGAAAGCCCCCGGCUCAACUGGGGAGGGUCAUUCGAUACUGUUCGACUCGAAGGCAGGAGAGGGAAGUGGAAUUCCCGGUGUAGUGGUGAAAUGCGUAGAUAUCGGGAGGAACACCAGUGGCGAAGGCGACUUCCUGGCCUGUUCUUGACGCUGAGGCGCGAAAGCUAGGGGAGCAAACGGG